AGACUCUGUGCGCGUGCAUAUCAAUAAGCGGAGGAAAAGAAACUAACUAGGAUUCCCUCAGUAACGGCGAGUGAAGCGGGAAGAGCUCAAAUUUGAAAUCUUCAAGGUUUUACCUUGACGAAUUGUAGUUUAAAGAAGUGUUUUCCUGUUGAAGUUUUGGUAAAAGUUCUUUGGAAUAGGACAUCAUAGAGGGUGAGAAUCCCGUAUUUGACCAUUAUUUCCAACUUUGUGAUACACUUUCAAAGAGUCGAAUUGUUUGGGAAUGCAGUCCAAAAUGGGUGGUAAAUUUCAUCUAAAGCUAAAUAUUGGCGAGAGACCGAUAGCGAACAAGUACCGUGAGGGAAAGAUGAAAAGAACUUUGAAAAGAGAGUUAAACAGUACGUGAAAUUGUCAAAAGGGAAGCGUUUGACACCAGUGUUGUUUUUCCGAAAAUCAAUUACGAAUGUUUUGUUUUUGAGGAGUUAUGACUUCAUCGGCUUGCUCCUUUCUUUACGAAACUUUCUUAAUGCACUUUUCGGUUAACAAGUCAACAUCAAUUUCUAUUGUUGUAAAAGGGUAUGAGGAAGGUGGCUUUCUUUUCGGAGAAAGUGUUUAUAGCCUUGUGCCUCUACAAUCGGAGAGAUUGAGGUCUGCAGCGUAGAUCCUUCGGGGUUAGAUACGUUUGUGCUAAGUUAUAGCUUUUCAUAGACAACUUGUUGACUAUGUUUAGUCUUGUAGCUUACUCGCUGACGCUAUUUUACCUACGCUUAGGAUGUUGAGUCGUAGAGCACGCAG
rnacentral:rRNA from 1 species